rnacentral:rRNA from 1 species
UACGGAGGGUGCAAGCGUUAUCCGGAUUCACUGGGUUUAAAGGGUGCGUAGGUGGGCUUGUAAGUCAGUGGUGAAAUCUCCGGGCUUAACCCGGAAACUGCCAUUGAUACUAUAGGUCUUGAAUUUUCUGGAGGUCAGCGGAAUAUGUCAUGUAGCGGUGAAAUGACUUAGAUAUGACAUAGAACACCAAUUGCGAAGGCAGCUGGCUACAGGGAUAUUGACACUGAGGCACGAAAGCGUGGGGAUCAAACAGG